AAGUCGUAACAAGGUUUCCGUUGGUGAACCAGCGGAAGGAUCAUUACUGAGAACCUGCCCUCUGGGUAGACCUCACACCCGUGUAUACUAUAACUUGUUGCUUUGGCGGGCCUCGAGCCCUAGGUUCGUACCGGCCCCGGCUGGACAGCGCCCGCCAGAGGACCCAAACUCUUGAAUCAUGUCAUGUCUGAAUACUAUUUUAAAAUUAUUUAAAACUUUCAACAACGGAUCUCUUGGUUCUG
rnacentral:misc_RNA from 1 species